rnacentral:rRNA from 1 species
GGUGUUCUUCCCGAUAUCUACACAUUCCACCGUUACACCGGGAAUUCCAGUCUCCCCUACCGCACUCAAGCCCGCCCGUACCCGGCGCGGAUCCACCGUUAAGCGAUGGACUUUCACACCGGACGCGACGAACCGCCUACGAGCCCUUUACGCCCAAUAAUUCCGGAUAACGCUUGCACCCUACGUAUUACCGCGGCUGCUGGCACGUAGUUAGCCGGUGCUUAUUCGAAAGGUACACUCACCCCAAAGGGUUUGCUCCAUCUAAAAAGGGGUAUAAAACCAAAGGGGCGUUAUCCCACACGGGGUGUCUGUGUAUCGGGUUUGCGCAUAGUGUGAAAUAUCCCACAGUGGUGUCUCGCGUGAGAGUGGGGGGCAUAUCUCACUCAAUGUGGGGGGGGGCCCUCUCUCGGGGGGGAUACGCGUUAAGGUCAGGGGGGGGCGAUACCCCGGAAUAAAUGAGAUGAGACGAGACCCUAUCCUAUAGAGGAAAACUUUCCCAGACGACAUG